rnacentral:rRNA from 1 species
UACGUAGGGGGCAAGCGUUGUCCGGAUUUACUGGGCGUAAAGAGCGUGUAGGCGGCCAUACAGGUCCGUUGUGAAAACUGGAGGCUCAACUUCCAGACGUCGACGGAAACCGUGUGGCUAGAGUCCGGAAGAGGAGAGUGGAAUUCCUGGUGUAGCGGUGAAAUGCGCAGAUAUCAGGAAGAACACCAAUGGCGAAGGCAGCUCUCUGGGGCGGUACUGACGCUGAGACGCGAAAGCGUGGGGAGCGAACAGG